UGCGUAAUAGUGUAUGCAGCACACGGGCCUUUGACUCCCGAAGAAAGGGUUAGACUCCCUAUUACACAA
rnacentral:tRNA from 1 species